rnacentral:rRNA from 1 species
GCGGACGCGGAUGGUCUAGCCCGCGAGUCAUUGUAGUAAUACAAGGCAGACGGCUCAGUAACGCGUAGUCAACCUACCCUAUGGACGGGGAUAACCUCGGGAAACUGAGAAUAAUACCCGAUAGAACAUUAUGCCUGGAAUGGUUUAUGUUUCAAAUAAUUUAUUGCCCUAGGAUGGGACUGCGGCCUAUCAGUUUGUUGGUGAGGUAAUGGCCCACCAAGACUAUUACAGGUACGGGCUCUGAGAGGAGUGGCCCGGAGAUGGGUACUGAGACACGGACCCAGGCCCUAUGGGGCGCAGCAGGCGAGAAAACUUUGCAAUGUGCGAAAGCACGACAAGGUUAAUCCGAGUGGUUUCUGCUAAAGGAACCUUUUGUCAGUCCUAGAAACACUGAUGAAUAAGGGGUGGGCAAGUUCUGGUGUCAGCCGCCGCGGUAAAACCAGCACCUCAAGUGGUCAGGAUGAUUAUUGGGCCUAAAGCACCCGUAGCCGGCUUUGUAAGUUUUCGGUUAAAUCCAUGCGCUCAACGUGUGGGCUGCCGGGAAUACUGCAAAGCUAGGGAGUGGGAGAGGUAGACGGUACUCGGUAGGAAGGGGUAAAAUCCUUUGAUCUAUUGAUGACCACCUGUGGCGAAGGCGGUCUACCAGAACACGUUCGACGGUGAGGGAUGAAAGCUGGGGGAGCAAACCGGAUUAGAUACCCGGGUAGUCCCAGCUGUAAACUAUGCAAACUCAGUGAUGCAUUGGCUUGUGGCCAAUGCAGUGCUGCAGGGAAGCCGUUAAGUUUGCCGCCUGGGAAGUACGUACGCAAGUAUGAAACUUAAAGGAAUUGGCGGGGGAGCACCACAAGGGGUGAAGCCUGCGGUUCAAUUGGAGUCAACGCCGGG